GGGGAUUUAGCUCAGCAGUAUAAGUGCCUGCCUGGCAAGCAGGAGAUUGUGAGUUUGAUCCCCA
rnacentral:tRNA from 1 species